rnacentral:rRNA from 1 species
UACGUAGGUGACCAGCGUUGUCCGGAUUUACUGGGCGUAAAGAGCGCGCAGGCGGUCGUUCAAGUCGAGUGUGAAAGCCCCCGGCUCAACUGGGGAGGGUCACUCGAUACUGAUCGACUCGAAGGCAGGAGAGGGUAGUGGAAUUCCCGGUGUAGUGGUGAAAUGCGUAGAGAUGUGGAGGAACACCGAUGGCGAAGGCAGCCUUCUGGGCCAACACUGACGCUCAUGCACGAAAGCGUGGGGAGCAAACAGG